rnacentral:rRNA from 1 species
ACCUGAAACCGUGUACGUACAAGCAGUGGGAGCCUCUUAAUGGGGUGACUGCGUACCUUUUGUAUAAUGGGUCAGCGACUUAUAUUCUGUAGCAAGGUUAACCGAAUAGGGGAGCCGAAGGGAAACCGAGUCUUAACUGGGCGUUAAGUUGCAGGGUAUAGACCCGAAACCCGGUGAUCUAGCCAUGGGCAGGUUGAAGGUUGGGUAACACUAACUGGAGGACCGAACCGACUAAUGUUGAAAAAUUAGCGGAUGACUUGUGGCUGGGGGUGAAAGGCCAAUCAAACCGGGAGAUAGCUGGUUCUCCCCGAAAGCUAUUUAGGUAGCGCCUCGUGAAUUCAUCUCCGGGGGUAGAGCACUGUUUCGGCAAGGGGGUCAUCCCGACUUACCAACCCGAUGCAAACUGCGAAUACCGGAGAAUGUUAUCACGGGAGACACACGGCGGGUGCUAACGUCCGUCGUGAAGAGGGAAACAACCCAGACCGCCAGCUAAGGUCCCAAAGUCAUGGUUAAGUGGGAAACGAUGUGGGAAGGCCCAGACAGCCAGGAUGUUGGCUUAGAAGCAGCCAUCAUUUAAAGAAAGCGUAAUAGCUCACUGGUCGAGUCGGCCUGCGCGGAAGAUGUAACGGGGCUAAACCAUGCACCGAAGCUGCGGCAGCGACACUAUGUGUUGUUGGGUAGGGGAGCGUUCUGUAAGCCUGUGAAGGUGGCCUGUGAGGGUUGCUGGAGGUAUCAGAAGUGCGAAUGCUGACAUAAGUAACGAUAAAGCGGGUGAAAAGCCCGCUCGCCGGAAGACCAAGGGUUCCUGUCCAACGUUAAUCGGGGCAGGGUGAGUCGACCCCUAAGGCGAGGCCGAAAGGCGUAGUCGAUGGGAAACAGGUUAAUAUUCCUGUACUUGGUGUUACUGCGAAGGGGGGACGGAGAAGGCUAUGUUGGCCGGGCGACGGUUGUCCCGGUUUAAGCGUGUAGGCUGGUUUUCCAGGCAAAUCCGGAAAAUCAAGGCUGAGGCGUGAUGACGAGGCACUACGGUGCUGAAGCGACAAAUGCCCUGCUUCCAGGAAAAGCCUCUAAGCAUCAGGUAACAUCAAAUCGUACCCCAAACCGACACAGGUGGUCAGGUAGAGAAUACCAAGGCGCUUGAGAGAACUCGGGUGAAGGAACUAGGCAAAAUGGUGCCGUAACUUCGGGAGAAGGCACGCUGAUAUGUAGGUGAAGCGACUUGCUCGUGGAGCUGAAAUCAGUCGAAGAUACCAGCUGGCUGCAACUGUUUAUUAAAAACACA